UGCUAUAUGUGCUAGGUUAACCUGUGGGAACCUAACACACAGGCAGUGGUGCUGGUCUGGGAGUACUACUCCAAGAGACUGGUAUGUACUAUAUGUGCUAGGUUAACCUGUGGGAACCUAACACACAGGCAGUGGUGCUGGUCUGGGAGUACUACUCCAAGAGACUGAACGACCUGUUUCAAGUGCCAGGGUUGACACUACAAGGCUUAGCAAGUGUUAGCAAAACAGCUCUGUCCUGGUAUGAGAAAUGUAAAGAAAG